CGCUUCCGGCACUCUAUCGUGCGCUCGAGCGGUCCGGAAGUGACUUGCUACUUUGCCGGCGAGCGGUGGAUCUGGAGUAUGUCAGGGAAACUGCCUGAUGGAGGGGGACUCUACUGGAAACGGUAGCUAAUACCGCAUGACCUCGAAAGAGCAAAGUGGGGGAUCUUCGGACCUCACGCCAUCGGAUGUGCCCAGAUGGGAUUAGCUAGUAGGUGAGGUAAUGGCUCACCUAGGCGACGAUCCCUAGCUGGUCUGAGAGGAUGACCAGCCACACUGGAACUGAGACAUGGUCCAACUCUCUACGGGAGGCAGCAGUGGGGAAUAUUGCACAAUGGGCGCAAGCCUGAUGCAGCCAUGCCGCGUGUGUGAAGAAGGCCUUAGGGUUGUAAAGCACUUUCAGCGAGGAGGAAGGCAUCACACUUAAUACGUGUGGUGAUUGAUGUUACUCGCAGAAGAAGCACCGGCUAACUCCGUGCCAGCAGCCGCGGUAAUACGGAGGGUGCAAGCGUUAAUCGGAAUUACUGGGCGUAAAGCGCACGCAGGCGGUUUGUUAAGUCAGAUGUGAAAUCCCCGCGCUUAACGUGGGAACUGCAUUUGAAACUGGCAAGCUAGAGUCUUGUAGAGGGGGGUAGAAUUCCAGGUGUAGCGGUGAAAUGCGUAGAGAUCUGGAGGAAUACCGGUGGCGAAGGCGGCCCCCUGGACAAAGACUGACGCUCAGGUGCGAAAGCGUGGGGAGCAAACAGGAUUAGAUACCCUGGUAGUCCACGCUGUAAACGAUGUCGACUUGGAGGUUGUGCCCUUGAGGCGUGGCUUCCGGAGCUAACGCGUUAAGUCGACCGCCUGGGAGUACGGCCGCAAGGUUAAAACUCAAAUGAAUUGACGGGGGCCCGCACAAGCGGUGGAGCAUGUGGUUUAAUUCGAUGCACGCGAGAACCCUUACCUACUCUUGACAUCCACGGAAUUCGCCUAGAGAUGGCUUAGUGCCUUCCGGGACCCGUGAGAACAGUGCUGCAUGGGCUGUCGUCAGCUCGUGUUGUGAAAUUGUUGGGUUUAAGUCCCGCAACGAGCGCCACCCUUAUCCUUGGUGGCCAGCCCCGUAUGGCUGGACUCCAAGGAACCUGGCCGGUGGUAACCGAAGGAAGGUGGGGGGAUUGACGCUCAGUCACUACUGCCUUUCCAGAAUAGGCCUACCACUGGCUUCAAUGCUUAUACUAGGAGAGCCGGACUCCCGCGAGGGACGCAAGCGCGGCAACU
rnacentral:rRNA from 1 species